rnacentral:miRNA from 1 species
AGAUCCAGCUGUAAUCAAAAAAGGGGACGGAGGGGAUUAAGUCGUUUGUGGCACAAACGACUUAAUCCCCUCCGUCCCCUUUUUUGUUCAACGAU